GAGAGUUUGAUCCUGGCUCAGGACGAACGCUGGCGGCGUGCUUAACACAUGCAAGUCGAACGGUGAUCCAUUUCGGUGGUGAUCAGUGGCGAACGGGUGAGUAACACGUGAGCAACCUGCCCCUGGCUCUGGGAUAACUCCGGGAAACCGGGGCUAAUACCGGAUAUGACAUUCUACCGCAUGGUGGUUUGUGGAAAGUUUUUCGGCUGGGGAUGGGCUCGCGGCCUAUCAGCUUGUUGGUGGGGUGAUGGCCUACCAAGGCGACGACGGGUAGCCGGCCUGAGAGGGCGACCGGCCACACUGGGACUGAGACACGGCCCAGACUCCUACGGGAGGCAGCAGUGGGGAAUAUUGCGCAAUGGGCGAAAGCCUGACGCAGCAACGCCGCGUGAGGGAUGAAGGCC
rnacentral:rRNA from 1 species